rnacentral:rRNA from 1 species
GAUGAACGCUGGCGGCGUGCUUAACACAUGCAAGUCGAACGGAGAAGCGCCUUCCUUUUUGGUGGGAGUUGAGGAGUGGCGAACUGGUGAGUAACACGUGAGUAACCUUCUCCCUCCGUCUGGAUAACCGCAUGACAGUGUGGCUACUACGGGAUAUUCUGGGUCUCUCGCAUGAUGGGUCUGGGACAGACUUUGUUUCGCUGGGGGAUGGGCUCGCGGCCUAUCAGCUUGUUGGUGGGGUGAUGGCCUACCAAGGCGGUGACGGGUAGCCGUCCUGAGAGGGUGGACGGUCACAGAGCGAAGGCGAGACGGAGCAGACUCCGGCGGGCGGCAGCAGGGAGGAUUAUGGCACGGUGGGCGGAAGCCUGAAGCAGCGACGCGGCGGGAGGGAUGGAGGUCUGCGGGUAGUAAACCUCUUUCGCCAGUGAAGCAGGCUGGCCGCGUUUGUGGGUAGGUUGACGGUAGCUGGACAAGAAGCGCCGGCUAACUACGUG